rnacentral:rRNA from 1 species
GAUGAACGCUAGCUACAGGCUUAACACAUGCAAGUCGAGGGGAAACGACAUCGAAAGCUUGCUUUUGAUGGGCGUCGACCGGCGCACGGGUGAGUAACGCGUAUCCAACCUGCCCACCACUUGGGGAUAACCUUGCGAAAGUAAGACUAAUACCCAAUGAUAUCUCUAGAAGACAUCUGAAAGAGAUUAAAGAUUUAUCGGUGAUGGAUGGGGAUGCGUCUGAUUAGCUUGUUGGCGGGGUAACGGCCCACCAAGGCUACGAUCAGUAGGGGUUCUGAGAGGAAGGUCCCCCACAUUGGAACUGAGACACGGUCCAAACUCCUACGGGAGGCAGCAGUGAGAAAUAUUGGUCAAUGGGCGAGAGCCUGAACCAGCCAAGUAGCGUGCAGGAUGACGGCCCUAUGGGUUGUAAACUGCUUUUAUAAGGGAAUAAAGUGAGCCUCGUGAGGCUUUUUGCAUGUACCUUAUGAAUAAGGACCGGCUAAUUCCAUGCCAGCCGCCGCAGUAA